rnacentral:rRNA from 1 species
ACGAAGGUGGCAAGCGUUACUCGGAAUUACUAGGCGUAAAGGGCAGGUAGGUGGUUUGGUAAGUCUGUUGUGAAAGCUCCUGGCUUAACUGGGAGAGGUCAACGGAUACUGCCGGACUUGAGUAUGGGAGAGGUUACUGGAAUUCCCGGUGUAGCGGUGAAAUGCGCAGAGAUCGGGAGGAACACCAAUGGCGAAAGCAGGUAACUGGACCAUUACUGAUACUCAGCUGCGAAAGCUAGGGGAGCAAACAGGA